AAGUGCUUGGUCGAGAUUGUAAGAUACAUUUAAACAAUGACCUCAAAUCAGGCAAGAAUACCCGCUGAACUUAAGCAUAUCAAUAAGCGGAGGAAAAGAAACUAACAAGGAUUCCCCUAGUAACGGCGAGUGAAGAGGGAAGAGCUCAAAUUUUAAAUCUGCCUUGUUUCAAGGUCGAGUUGUAAUUUGAAGAAGCGUUUUCUUGGGCACGCGACCGGUAGAAGUUCUUUGGAACAGGACAUCAUAGAGGGUGACAAUCCCGUCUGCGACCGGUCGUGCGUUCAUCUACGAUACGCUUUCAAAGAGUCGAGUUGUUUGGGAUUGCAGCUCCAAAUGGGUGGUAAACAUCACCUAAGGCUAAAUAUUGGCGAGAGACCGAUAGCGAACAAGUACCGUGAGGGAAAGAUGAAAAGAACUUUGAAAAGAGAGUUAAACAGUACGUGAAAUUGUUGAAAGGGAACGAUUGAAGUCAGUCGUGCUGGCGCGAAAUCAACCCUCUCGUCGAGAGGUCACAUGGCGUGGCGAGCCUCAAAACCGUCACGAAGCGUGAACUCUUGGCGAAAAGGAGCACUUUCGUGUCCGCUGGUUAACAUCAAUUUCGAACGUCAUAAAAAGGCUGGAGGGAUGUGGCUCCUUCGGGAGUGUUAUAACCUUUAGCGGAAUGUGGUGGUCGGGAUUGAGGAUUGCAACGAAUACCUUUAGGGCUGUUCCACCUGGCUUCUCUUUGGUAUCCUGGUGACGACAGCUUGCUGACGUUGUCAGGAUUCGCCUUUGAACAGGCUAGAGUGUGAGCAAAUUCGUUAAGGAUGUUAACGUAAUGGCUUUAAACGACC
rnacentral:rRNA from 1 species